AUCCUCAGUUUAAGUUUAAGGUUAGAUUCCACCUUUAUGUUGUAUCUUAAAGCAACAUUUUAGGUACCCUUGGAGAGUAGCCAGAAACUACUUUUAAGAAGAGGUAUGACUGAGAAGAAGGGAAAUAAAACUUUUUUUAUUCUAAAACAAAACCUAAACAUAUCAAUAGUAUUGCCCUUCAAAAUAGCACCCUCAUUCCAGCAACCCGUAUUCCAGCAGAAGAGCAGCCAUCACUCAACUGCCCCCCAGGGACUGCUAUGAGCCAGCUAAGACAAUCAACAUUUUUACUUUAAAGUUACACCUUGAUUCAGUCUCAGAAACGUGAAAUAAAAUGUGGUAAGCUGUUUUACUUAUUAGAUAUCACUCCAAAUGAUUUCAGUUAUUUACAAUUUUUUAAAAAUCACCUUCAUGAUUGAAAAAUUUGGUGAAAAAUGUCCUCCACUGAAGACAUCAUUCAGAUCCAGAAGGCAUUAAGCAGAAGUACCAUCAUCUAGAUAUUAAAGGCCCCAAAGUACUAAGUUAGAAUUACUAAGCUAUUUCAUGUAAAUAUGGAUUUUUUUUCUUUUUUUGCCCAAAUUAUCCAGGCAAUUUACUUGUUUUCUUCUGUAGCACAUAGUGUGUUAUGGCUUUGUCAUGGUUAGUGCAUCUUACCAGGUAUGCAGUUUUUUCUGCAUUGUAGUUUAAAAAGUAACCACAUAAAUUAUAUAGCAAAAAGGCUCACAUCUGCUAGGAGCAUGACAGAAGCACAAACUUAAAUUGGAGUUCCUGUCAAAGUCUAUGCUGUCAUGUUCAUGGACAUAACAUUGAUCCUGGAUUCCUGUGGCCACUAACUAAGGCUGGGAGCAGAAGAAUUAAAGGUCAAAUGCACUCUUUGCAUUCAUGACCAUUGAACAGUAAAAUCCACUGUGAGUUGAAGGUUUCCUCUGUGUGGUAAUUAAUACCAUUUCAUGGUAUUUGCCAGUUACACAAGAAUGCACAA
rnacentral:lncRNA from 1 species